CUUCAUAAUUUAAAAAUAAUAGAAAUUAAUUUUCUCACACUUCUGGAGGCUGAGAAGUCCAAGAUCAAGGUACCAGCAGGUUCAGUGUCUAGUGAAGCUGCUCUCUACUUCCAAGGUGCCACCUUAACUACUGUAUCCUCUGAAGGUGAAGAACACCAUGUCCUCACAUGGCAGAAAGGACAGAAGGUCAGAAAGGGACAAACACUAUGUAAAGCCCCUUUUGUAAGUAAGGCAUGACUCCUGCUCACAAAGGCAGAGCCCUAUGACUUAGUCACCUCCUAAAGGCCCUACCUCUUAAUAAUAUCACAUUGUUGAUUAAGUUUCAACAUUUGAAUUUUGGAGGACAUGUACAGACCAUAUAGCAUAGGGGCUCUGUAUUGCAUGUUUACAUAUCAUUCUUUUCUAUUAGACAGUUGCUUCUUGAGGACAGGGGCAGGCAAGGAUGCCUAACACAGAUUAGAUAUUUUAGUUGAAUUAAUCAAUUAAAACAAGGAAAAUGAUUAAAUUUCUUCCUUGACUGCUAGCAACAAAAGGAAAAAUAACUAAGCCAUUGUAUUUUAAGAAACAUCCUUGUAGAAAAAAAUUAUUAUAGAAGUAACAAUGCCCCUCAUAAUAAAAAGCUAAUAUAUACACAUGUACACAUUUUAAAAAACAUAUCUGGAAUAGAACCAGAAAAGAACACUAAUCCUCAAGCCACACACUACCACUGACACUUAGUGGUUGUGUGACCUUGGGCAAAAUUAACAGAUAUCACUGUGCUUCAAUUUCCUCACCUGUAAAAUGGAGAUAACAAUAAUGCCCACUUCAUAGAGUUAUGAUGAGAAUUAAAUGAGUUAAUGAAUGUAAAGUGCUUAGAACAUAGCAAAUAUGAAUGUUUUUUAUAAUUACUAUUAUCACUAGCAAUUAUUAUGCAAUCUUUCUCUUUUCACUUACUAUUCCUUGAUGGUCUUUCUGUGGCAACACUUAAACUCUCCCUAAUUCUUUUCAAAGGCUUUGGAGUAUUCCAUUAGUUGGAUGCAUCAUCGUGUAACCCUAUAGACAUUUAAGUUUUUUCGGUUUACUAACAAUCCUUGUCCAUUUAAUUGUGUGCGGGUAUAAGUUUCUAGAAGUAGAAUUGCUUUAAGCCUACUUUUUCAUAAAAAAAUUAAUAGAAUUGACAAAAUUCCAAAUUAACAACCUCCAAAGAGUUUGUACUCAUUUUUUAUUCCUGCUAACAGUAUAUGAAAAUGAAACCCUCUUUUAUAAACUCAAGAGGGCAGCAGUGGAGAACAAUGGAAGAAGCGGACAAUAUUUCAAGUUCUACCCUGGGGAAAUAUGAAAUGCCAGGUACAAAUUUUCACCACCAUAAGUUGUGAUU